AUUGAACGCUGGCGGCAUGCCUUACACAUGCAAGUCGAACGGUAACAGAUCUUCGGAUGCUGACGAGUGGCGAACGGGUGAGUAAUACAUCGGAACGUGCCUAGUAGUGGGGGAUAACUACUCGAAAGAGUGGCUAAUACCGCAUGAGAUCUACGGAUGAAAGCAGGGGAUCGCAAGACCUUGUGCUACUAGAGCGGCCGAUGGCAGAUAAGGUAGUUGGUGGGAUAAAAGUUUACCAAGCCUACGAUCUGUAGCUGGUCUGAGAGUACGAUCAGCCACACUGGGACUGAGAGACGGCCCAGACUCGUACGGGAGGAAGCAGUAGGGAAUUUUGUACAAUGGGCGCAAGCCUGAUCCUCCAAUGCCGCGUGCAGGAUGAAGGCCUUCGGGUUGUAAACUGCUUUUGUACGAAACGAAAAGCCCUGGGUUAAUACCCUGGGGUCAUGACGGUACCGUAAGAAUAAGCACCGGCUAACUACGUGCCAGCAGCCGCCGUAACAC
rnacentral:rRNA from 1 species